rnacentral:rRNA from 1 species
CCUACGGGGGGCUGCAGUGAGGAAUAUUGGUCAAUGGUCGCAAGACUGAACCAGCCAUGCCGCGUGCAGGAUGAAGGCCCUAUGGGUUGUAAACUGCUUUUCUCUGGGAAUAAACCUCUUUACGUGUAAAGAGCUGAAGGUACCAGAGGAAUAAGGACCGGCUAACUUCGUGCCAGCAGCCGCGGUAAUACGAAGGGUCCAAGCGUUAUCCGGAUUUAUUGGGUUUAAAGGGUGCGCAGGCGGGGCUUUAAGUCAGUGGUGAAAUCUCGUAGCUC